UAUCGUUUAGCCUCACUUUUACUGAACUUUAGAGAGUUAGCAAGUUAACGUGCUUAGAAAAGUUAUUUAAAAAUAUUGAGAUCAACUAAACCAACAAGUAUUUCAUUUAAUUGUGUACAUUUCAAUAGGUUAAGGGCCCAGACAUCGCAUUACCAAAAAAUUAAAAAAAAUAAAAUCAAAAGCGUACAUAAUUAAAUAAACAAUUAAAUUAUAAAAAAAAAUAGUCUUAUCGUUUAUAUGUGUAUGAAUAUUCGGCAACGCGUAAUUAACACAACUCCUUUGUAGGCUUACAGUGGCUCUGAAGAAGACAAAUCUUAACUGUGCACAAAAAAUUAAGGGUGUGUGAGUGAAUGCAACAAGAAUUUAACGUGACAACGUUUUCAGAAAAUAACAAAGAAAAAUACAAUCCAAAAGGGUAGCAAAUUCAAGAAUAUUACUCCUUUUAAUGGAGAAAAUUGCACACUAAAUACGAGCAUAACAUUGGAGAGGCAGAGUGGUCAGCGGAUCCGGAUAUGGAACUUAGGGAGUUCCUGGAGUCGGAACUGGCACUAUUUGCGGGGGCGCAGGGAGUCUCGCAUAUCGCGGAGCACAGGAUCCGGCUAAAGGACGACAAGUCAUUAAACCAGCGAUAUUAUCCGAAGAAUCCGCCCAUGGAGAGGGUGAUAGACGAACAGGUAGAUGAGCUGAUCCGGACAAGUGUCAUCGGGCCAUCGCGUAGUCCGUACAACGCCCAGUCGUCUUAGUCAAAAAGAAGACUGGCGAAUGGCGCGUGUGCAUCGACUACCGGCAACGUGUAUUCCAUCCCAGACGCUUAUCAUGUUCCCAGGAUUAAUCACAUCCUUGAGCGGUUGAGUCACGCCCGGUUCAUUUCUCCUCUGGAUUUGAAGCACGGGUACUGGCAGAUACCGAUGGCAGCCGAUAGUCGGGAACGUACGGCGUUCACGGUCCCCGGAAGAGGUCUUUUCCAAUGGCAGUUGAUACCAUUCGGCUUACUCUCGGCAUGUGCGACCUUCCAGCGAGCCUUAGACACGCUCAUGGGGCCGGAAAUGGAGCCUCAAACGUUCGCCUACAUAGACUACAACGUGGUAAUAGGGGCAACGAAAGAGCAACAUGUAGAGAACUUGAGGGAGGUGUUACGUAUGUACAGCGUACGCGAGUAGAAAGUUGCUUAAGGCCGAAGAGAACUAUUCCGCCACCACAAAAGAGUCCCUGCCAAUCCUUUGGUCGAUACGGAAGCUGCGUUGCUACUAAGAAGGGUACCGUUUCGACGUGAUAGCGGCACUUAAGUGGUUCAACUCGAGCGAGAGCCCUUCAGGCAGGAUCGUGCGAUGGGCACUGGAGCUACAACAGUUCCAAUUCGACGUCCACUACCGUCGAUGAAAGCUCAACGUCGUGGCCGACGCACUUUCAAAACAUCAUCUAGAGACCUGCCAACAAGCUGUGGUAGCCCAGUCACCCAGCAGGUGGGUCGCGAGUAUGAGUGCUAGAAUCGAAGAGGAGUCGGCCAAGUUCUCGGACUACAUAGAUGAGAAUGGGCAACUGAUGGCGAUUAAAUUCCAUGUAAGCUAUGCGUGUCUAGUGAUCAGCGACAGAGGGUAUUGCAGGAAUGCCACAACGCUCCCACGGCCGGACAUCAAGGCGUGAGGAAAACCGUGUCGAGAUUGGCACAAAGAUACUACUGGCCAGGUAUGUUCCGCGACACCGCCAAGUACGUGAAGUGCUGCGAAAUCUGUCAAAAAUUUAAGAGUGAGCAACUCAAACCGGCUGGACAUAUGCUGACGCGGCAGGUAGCAGAGCCAAUGGCAGUACUCUGCGCCAACUUCGUCGUGCCCCUUUCACGCUCGAAACAUGGCAACACAAUGGUAUUGAUGUUCCAUGAUGCCUUUUCAAAGUGGGUGAAAUGGGUCCCUCUCAGGAGGGUCACGGCGGCACACCUGCAGACCGCAUUCCGAGCGCAAUUUAUCGAGAGGCAUCAGAGUUCGUGGAAGGAGCUUUUGUCUGAGAUAUCGCUGGCGGUCAAUACAAGUGGCGGAUUCGACCGGUUGCCCGGGGACUACGGGGUCCGCAAUUAGUGCGUCCACAGCAAUCUCCAGAGCGCUUCGAAGGACCAGGGAGGACACUACAACCUGCGGAGGCGAGAGUGGUUGCCUUCGUUGGAUUCGAUGGUCCUGUUAAGGCAGCACCAACUAUCCAACGCCGCUGAGGGUUUCGCUGCGAAUGUGGCACCCAAGUUUGAUCGCCCCUAUAGCGUCGUCAAAUUCAUAUCCCCUAAUAUAUAUUUUAUUUUAUGUUUUUUUGCCCUCUUUUUUAAAUGUUGGAAUAAUAACUGGAAUAAUGAAUGUUGAAAUACACACAAACAUUCAUUCAUACAAAAGGUACAAUGACCAAGUAGGCUUUUGUUAUUUUCAGUUUUAAUACUGAAAUGCUUUUAUCGUUUAGCCUCACUUUUACUGAACUUUAGAGAGUUAGCAACUUAACGUUAACCCAGACAUCGCAUUACCAAAAAAUUAAAAAAAAUAAAAUCAAAAGCGUACAUAAUUAAAUAAACAAUUAAAUUAUAAAAAAAAUAGUCUUAUCGUUUAUAUGUGUAUGAAUAUUCGGCAACGCGUAAUUAACACAACUCCUUUGUAGGCUUACAGUGGCUCUGAAGAAGACAAAUCUUAACUGUGCACAAAAAAUUAAGGGUGUGUGAGUGAAUGCAACAAGAAUUUAACGUGACAACGUUUUCAGAAAAUAAUAAAGAAAAAUACAAUCCAAAAUGGUAGCAAAUUCAAGAAUAUUACUCCUUUUAAUGGAGAAAAGUAAGUAUAUUCUGUAUGGAAAUUUAUUUUGAUGAAUCUUUUUGUUCAGAACGAGAUUUUAUAUGUUAUUGAAAAGGCGAAACCCGAAAAAAUGGGCUAAGGCAGAGGGAGCAGCAAACAGUAUAAUAAUUAAAUUCCUUACCGAUUCGUUUCUGUCAUUUGCUGAGAAUAAGAAUUCUGCAAGGGAAAUUUUAAUGAAGUUAGACUCAGUGUUCGACCGUAAAAGUUUAGCCUCGAUUCACUUUAUGGUUCACUUUAAAAAAUUUGACAAAUUUAUGAAUGAGUUAAUAGCAUCAGGAGCUAAAAUUGAAGAGGUGGAUAAAGUGUCACACCUACUUUUAACUUUACCUUCCACUUAUGAUGGGAUGGCAAAUGCUAUUGAAAACUUGUUAAUUGAAAACCUGACUCUGGCAUUUGUUAAAAAUCGACUACUUGAUCACGAGAUCAAACUUAAGAAUGCUAGUAAGAAUACGAGCAGUAAUUUUUUGCAAUCUGAAACUCAAAAUGGCAAAAAUGGCAAUAAAACAGGACCGUGGCUUCUUAAAUCAAAUAUUUGCCCAACCACACAGCCAGGUUUUGUUCUUAUGUUGACGCAGCAGGGUGGAAUGAAUUCAUUUAGGAGCCUCAUACCGUAUGAUAAAUAAUGUAAAACUGUUGUGGAAUAUGGUUUACUGGAAACACCAAUUGAGAUUUCUAUUGCAAAACUUAUGAUACUGCUAAGGGUAGAGUGAAAUUAGAGAGCAAUCUUAAUAAAAAUAUUACCCUAAAAAAUGUCCUUUUUUGCAAGGACAUUCCACAAAAUUUACUAUCGGUGCCAAAGAUGCAGAAUGCUGGUAUGACAAUUCAGUUCAAUUCAACUGGUGCAAGUGUUAAAGAACGGACAAGGCGUUUUAGAAGGUACUUACAUUGAGUAGAGGCAGGCAACAAAUGCCUCAUCUACACAUGAGUAGAGGAUAGUUUAUAGAAGUUGUGCGAAAUAAUGUUUGAGAUUUGAGCAUGACAAUUUGUGUGAGGCUUGUGUUAACGGCAAGCAAACUAGACUCCCGUUUAGUGGAACUAAAAAUAAAGAGACCUUUAUUUAUGGUUCAUUCGGAUGUUUAUGGUCCCAUACCACCUUCAAGUAUUGAUGGUGAAAACUAUGAUGUAGUUUUUGUCGAACAAUAUAAACAUUAUUGUGUAAGCUAUUUGAUAACCUAUAAA